GUUCUGGGCAGACUGUCUCCCAUAUUCCCUCUCCCGCUCCGUAGUAAGGGGCGGGCCUCGUAGCAGAGCGCGCGCGGAGCGGUGGCAGCUGGUGUCCAGAGCCCCGAGAGUCUCUCGCUCUGUUUGGAAGGUGAAUUCAUCGCUCCUGGUUUCUCAGGGGCCCUAGUGGUGCUGAGACCUGGCACCGCCACAGCCCGCGCCUCUGCCUGGCUACUGCACAGUGGGAAAUGACCACACCUAACAAGACACCACCAGGUGCUGAUCCCAAGCAGUUGGAAAGGACUGGUACUGUUCGGGAAAUAGGGUCUCAAGCUGUUUGGUCCCUUUCGUCCUGUAAGCCAGGCUUUGGAGUGGACCAGUUACGAGAUGAUAAUCUAGAAACUUACUGGCAAUCUGAUGGGUCACAGCCUCAUUUGGUGAACAUCCAGUUUAGAAGAAAAACAACGGUGAAGACAUUGUGUAUUUAUGCAGACUACAAAUCUGAUGAAAGCUACACCCCAAGCAAGAUCUCUGUCAGAGUAGGAAAUAACUUCCACAACCUUCAGGAAAUUCGGCAACUUGAAUUAGUGGAACCGAGUGGGUGGAUUCAUGUUCCUUUAACUGAUUCUCAUAAGAAGCCUAUUCGCACAUUUAUGAUUCAGAUUGCCGUUUUAGCCAAUCAUCAGAAUGGAAGAGACACUCACAUGAGACAAAUUAAAGUGUACACCCCAGUGGAAGAAAGCUCUAUUGGUAAAUUUCCUAGAUGUACAACAAUUGAUUUCAUGAUGUAUCGCUCUAUAAGAUGAAUCUUCUUAUGAAGAACAAUAAAAGUGAUUUUGUUAUCAGUUUUGUUUCAAAUAUCUUUUCCUGUUAAAAAUGUGACAGCACUUACUCUUGUGGAAUUCUCUCUCUAUAAGUUUAACUUUUUUGUGUGUAACUUUAACCUGUUUUGAGUUGUGCUGUUUUUUUUAUUUCUAAUCUGCUUUCGAUAGUCACAUUUUCUGUUAAUUGUAUUUACAAAGGCUGUAGGAGGUUUUUAGAUUUUCAAAAUGUGUAUAAAAGAACUUUCUCCUUUGCUACGAAAUGGAUAACCAUGGUUCACAUAACAUGUAUAUUCUUUUUUUCCAGGUGGUUUCUCCAUUUGUUGAUAAUGUAUUAGAAUACUUCAUGGCAUGACUGCAUAUUGUGGUUGGGUCCGUCCAAAACAGCUGUGUUUUAAUUAGGUGUAUUUUUAAUGGAUUAUUACUACUGUAUUUUUUCCUGGGUAUGGGUGUUCAUUCUUUUAAGAGGGUUCUUUAUGUCUUUGAAAUGACUCCACUGUGGUAUUGUGCAUGACUUGUUUCUGGUGAGAAAUGUAUUUAACUGGGUUUUUAUUCUAAUAGGUCUUGAUGUAGGUUUCAUUUUUCUGUAUAACUGAAAAAAUUGAAAUCUAGAAGGAAAGUGAAUAUUUCUAACUGUAUUUUAUAUUGUCCUGUCAUUACAGAUAUAAUGUAACCCUUACAUCAUUGUAAUGUAACAAUAGACAUUCCAGGAAUGCACAGGCAACAUUCCUUAGCAUUGCUUCCUGGCACCCUUUGAAGUCCCAUGGAUCACAUAAAAUACAUCAGGGCAAACAAAUGACCAUUCUAAACCCUUCUUAUAAGAUUGAGGAGCUCACUAUUACCAUGGUUCUGUUACUCAGGCCAGGUGUGAUUGUCAGGAUACUUUUCUGAGUUACAACAUGGACACAUCUAUGAAGUGAAACUUUAGAGGGAGCACCUGAAGCAGCAGAAUUUGGGCUUGAGGUCAAUUUGUACGCUAGAGACUGUGAGCAGCCAAAUAUCUGGAACGCCAAAAUCUACUUGUAAAAUGCAUGAGCUUUUCAAUACGUAGUAAAUCAGUGACUGAAGAAACUGGAACACCAUGGAGAGCUACCUAUUAAUCACCAUGAGUGGCAGCAAAUAAUCUCAACCUGAUCUAAUUUAAGGGAGAAUCAAGUUCUCACUAUAAGGGUGAGUCAACACCUCAAAAAAUUAGGAUCAGUUUUAAAGCCACAGCCAGCUAUGGUGUCAGUCCUAAAUGGACAGUGUAAAAAAGGCUCAGGCAUUUUUACUAACAUGUCAUGAAGUAAAUUGGACUAGUUACAGGGUAUGGCACCAUUUGCUGUGAGUCUGGAUGGUAGAACUGGGUUCUAAGUAAGGCACUGUUAAUGCCAGCACAAACACACCAUGUCCUGUAAGCAACAAAGAUGAAUAUGAGUCAGAACCCAAUGCUG